rnacentral:rRNA from 1 species
UCGGGAAUCUUGCACAAUGGGCGAAAGCCUGAUGCAGCAACGCCGUGUGAGCGAGGAAGGCCUUAGGGUCGUAAAGCUCUGUUGUUGGGGACGAAGGGCGAAGGGUUAAUAGCCUCUAGCCUGACGGUACCCUUCGAGGAAGCCCCGGCUAACUACGUGCCAGCAGCCGCGGUAAUACGUAGGGGGCGAGCGUUGUCCGGAAUUAUUGGGCGUAAAGAGCGUGUAGGCGGCCUGGUAAGUCUGCCGUGAAAACCUGGGGCUCAACCCUGGGCGUGCGGUGGAUACUGCUAGGCUAGAGGAUGGUAGAGGCGAGUGGAAUUCCCGGUGUAGCGGUGAAAUGCGUAGAUAUCAGGAAGAACACCGGUGGCGAAAGCGCUCUGCUAGGCCGUAACUGACACUGAGGGACGAAAGCUAGGGGAGCGAAUGGGAUUAGAUACCCCCGUAGUCC